GUGGCUCUUAUCAAAUUUGGCUUCCCUUUAUAAAGGCCGUUUUCCCGUAUUUCGCCAACGGCGGCGGUAACAUUUCCCCCGACCUUUGGUGUAGCGCGCCGCAAUAAAUGCCGAUAGAGGGCGUACCCGCCGACGUUAACUAGUUCCGUUCGGUCGCGUCAGAUCCGCGACUACACCCGCCCGUAGCCGUCCCUUCUGGCCUUUCAGCGCAGCGCCUUCCUCGUCGGCCAUGGACCCGUUAGCCCAUCGAUUUUCUUGGUCUGUAGCUUACAUCGAUCGAGCGAGGAAAAGUAACCGUCCGUACGGUUAACGAAAAGCAGCGCUCCGACAACCGGUCCGGGAGACGACUUUUGGGAUGGUUUUCCGCCCGGAAAUUUGGCGGACGGGGGUAGGGUUCUUUGCCAAGUCGGUCGGGUUUGUCUUCUUUAUAGCAUUCCGGACUCUUAGCGGCGACCCGCGGGCAAUCUUCCGUAACCGGUCGCUCCGGCCGGCGCCGAAGCGGGCCGGCCACGGAGGACGGUGGGAAGGCGAAGUUGUCCGGGCUUGGAGUACCGACCGCUUCUUCCCCACCGCCACGGCGGCCGGAAGGUGGACUCUGCCCCCGGAAAUGGACCGGGUCGAUCGGCCGUCCCGCGCGACCGGACGGUCCUCCUCCGCGGACGGAAAGAAAUGACACCAGAGACAGACGACGUCACAGUUUAUUGAUGGACGGUUGGCCGGUCUUCUUUCUGCUGUGCCGGGUGGAGAGAAAGCGGGGAGGAAGCGGUGGAGGUGAGGAAGGAGUGGCGGAAACAAUGGAGUGGCAAGCCAGUGGACAGAAGACAGACAAAGCCGCGCGCACUCUUUUCUCCCGGAGGCCUCGGUCCGCCUCUUCCUCCUCUUCCGGAGGCAAAAUGGCGGAUGGGAGCAUCCGGGAGAGUCACCCGGCAGACGUUAAAGCGUGAAGGAAAACAGGGGAUCGGAUUAGACAGAUUCGAGCGGAGGGAAAGAAGUAAAAGUCUCGACAUUCGGGACAUACCUGGGUUAGAGUCAAGGAGGACUAGUCGGGAGUAAUGGCGGGACCAGGACGGGAGUCGCCGGCUAACCGCGGCACACACCAGAAAGACCGGAGCACUACUGCCGUCCGCCUCCGCCCCGGACAAAGAGUUCCCGGCCGGCCGCUAGGGACCGGUUUCUGGUCCGCGGCCGGCCGAAUAGACGGCGGACUUCACUUCCGCAGCCCGCAACUUCCCACCGGAAGCUGCCUCCUUCUUCCGGUACAGGAUAGCCGUGGAGAUUCUUCGGUCGGGCUUCCAUUCUUCCCUGCAAAUCUGGUACUAAAUGCGACUAAACAGAUCCGCCGCACCUAGCGCGGAAAAUUAACGCCACCGGUUUACGGCCUUCACCUAGACCGAGGGAAAGAUUCCCCGUCUUUCCUAGUUCUCAUUGCAUUCGUCGUAUCUGUUCCCUAUUUCCUCUCGAAAUCGGGAUCGUUCGGUUGUCGACGGUAAGGACACCGCUUCUCGGAUACCAGAAAUUUCGUUUCUAACGGUGUUGAUUACUGUUUGACCUUAUUCUGUCUAGCAUUCUUUUCUUUCCUUUCUUCUGGUUGUUUGUCGUUCGCGUAUGUGUUUUUGAAAAUAGCAUUUUUCCACCUACUUAAUAAAGCUUACACACGACGUCGGUGGCGUCACUAGAGGGAUACGGAGGACUAUAGAUUUUAAGUUGGGCGAUACCCAAUGUUUUCGAACGUAUAUUAAAAAAUUACAUUUUUGCCAAUUUUAAAACCCG
rnacentral:lncRNA from 1 species